GCAGUCGAACGGGAUCCAUCAGGCUUUGCUUGGUGGUGAGAGUGGCGAACGGGUGAGUAAUGCGUGACCGACCUGCCCCAUACACCGGAAUAGCUCCUGGAAACGGGUGGUAAUGCCGGAUGCUCCAGUUGAUCGCAUGGUCUUCUGGGAAAGCUUUCGCGGUAUGGGAUGGGGUCGCGUCCUAUCAGCUUGACGGCGGGGUAACGGCCCACCGUGGCUUCGACGGGUAGCCGGCCUGAGAGGGCGACCGGCCACAUUGGGACUGAGAUACGGCCCAGACUCCUACGGGAGGCAGCAGUGGGGAAUAUUGCACAAUGGGCGCAAGCCUGAUGCAGCGACGCCGCGUGAGGGAUGGAGGCCUUCGGGUUGUAAACCUCUUUUAUCGGGGAGCAAGCGAGAGUGAGUUUACCCGUUGAAUAAGCACCGGCUAACUACGUGCCAGCAGCCGCGGUAAUACGUAGGGUGCAAGCGUUAUCCGGAAUUAUUGGGCGUAAAGGGCUCGUAGGCGGUUCGUCGCGUCCGGUGUGAAAGUCCAUCGCUUAACGGUGGAUCCGCGCCGGGUACGGGCGGGCUUGAGUGCGGUAGGGGAGACUGGAAUUCCCGGUGUAACGGUGGAAUGUGUAGAUAUCGGGAAGAACACCAAUGGCGAAGGCAGGUCUCUGGGCCGU
rnacentral:rRNA from 1 species